UGGCGAACGGGUGAGUAACGCGUGAGGAACCUGCCUCAAAGAGGGGACGAACAGUUGGAAACGACUGCUAAUACCGCAUAAGCCCACGACCCGGCAUCGGGAAGAGGGAAAAGGAGCAAUCCGCUUUGAGAUGGCCUCGCGUCCGAUUAGCUGGUUGGUGAGGUAACGGCCCACCAAGGCGACGAUCGGUAGCCGGACUGAGAGGUUGAACGGCCACAUUGGGACUGAGACACGGCCCAG
rnacentral:rRNA from 1 species